rnacentral:rRNA from 1 species
ACUCCUACGGGAGGCAGCAGUGGGGGAAUAUUGCACAAUGGGGGGAAAACCCCUGAUGCAGCCAUGCCGCGUGUGUGAAGAAGGCCUUCGGGUUGUAAAGCACUUUCAGUAGGGAGGAAGGUAGUGUAGUUAACACCUGCACUAUUUGACGUUACCUACAGAAGAAGCACCGGCUAACUCCGUGCCAGCAGCCGCGGUAAUACGGAGGGUGCGAGCGUUAAUCGGAAUUACUGGGCGUAAAGCGCAUGCAGGCGGCCUGUUAAGUCAGAUGUGAAAGCCCGGGGCUUAACCUCGGAAUUGCAUUUGAAACUGGCAGGCUAGAGUCUUAGGUAGAGGGGGGUAGAAGUUUCAGGUGUAGCGUGAAAUGCGUAGAGAUCUAGAAGGAAUACCAGUGGCGAAGGCGGCCCCCGUGGAC